rnacentral:siRNA from 1 species
AAGCAGCAGCGGUAUCAUUGUGGU